rnacentral:lncRNA from 1 species
GGUGUGUCAGUGAUGAGUGGAAAGCUCAGCUAUUUUGCCAGGUGGUUUUAGAAGACAAAAAAUCUUCAGAUUUCAGGAAAUGGUGAGGUUUUUUUUGGCAUGGAACUACCAGUAUCUCCAUUCAUUCCCUUUUCCACCUACUCCGGUGAAGACAUUGAGGCAAGUCAAAGAGCUUGGGAGAAAGUGCUCCAAACAGCUGAGCUUGCAAGGUGCUGAUAGGUUCUCCCUGAUUGCCUUCUUACAUCCCAGUUUGGCCCACAGUUACCUGGAGUACACCUGUAUCCUUUUGAGAGAGACCUUCUUAGGCUUGCUAAAUUGAAAGCUUCAUUUAUCUGCUAUUUUUUUUUCUUUUUGCCAAAGCACCGAUUUCUGUCUAGAAGUUGGACUGGCAGGGCCUCUGAAGUUGUGCGUUGACACUGCCAAGGAUGUUUGUUCUGCAGUCUCAGAACAUCCUUAGCCACAGAUGAUCUUAAGAACAGUUUGCUUAUUUCAUCAUGGUGAGAAAGAACAUUUAACAUGAGAUGAGCCCUCUUCCCACAUAGGUACAAUGUUGCACAGCAGAUCUCUAGAACUUACACGUCUUUAUCCUUGCUGAGCGGCAGGUGUUCACCUUUAUACCUGCUGGAACUUUAUACUUGUGGAACAGUAACUCUCCAUUUCCCUUCCCGGUAGUUUCUGGCAACUGCCAUUUUACUUUCUGUUUCUAUGAGUUUGACUACUUUAGAUCCCUCACAUAACUGGAAUCACUCAGUAUUCAUCCUUCUGCUGCCACAGACACACUUGCAUCUGCUGAUGCUGUCUCGGAUCACCUGGGAUUUUAGUCUUUCAGCCUAGCACGGUGCCUGGAUUGGAGGAGGUAUUCAAC